ACGGGAGGCAGCAGUGGGGAAUAUUGCACAAUGGGGGAAACCCUGAUGCAGCGACGCCGCGUGAGUGAAGAAGUAUUUCGGUAUGUAAAGCUCUAUCAGCAGGGAAGAAAAUGACGGUACCUGACUAAGAAGCCCCGGCUAACUACGUGCCAGCAGCCGCGGUAAUACGUAGGGGGCAAGCGUUAUCCGGAUUUACUGGGUGUAAAGGGAGCGUAGACGGCGGUGCAAGUCUGAAGUGAAAUCCCGGGGCUCAACCCCGGUGCUGCUUUGGAAACUGUACUGCUAGAGUGCUGGAGAGGUAAGUGGAAUUCCUAGUGUAGCGGUGAAGUGCGUAGAUAUUAGGAGGAACACCAGUGGCGAAGGCGGCUUACUGGACAGUAACUGACGUUGAGGCUCGAAAGCGUGGGGAGCAAACAGGAUUAGAUACCCUGGUA
rnacentral:rRNA from 1 species